rnacentral:rRNA from 1 species
CCUACGGGAGGCAGCAGUCGAGAAUCAUUCACAAUGGGGGAAACCCUGAUGGUGCGACGCCGCGUGGGGGAAUGAAGGUCUUCGGAUUGUAAACCCCUGUCAUGUGGGAGCAAAUUAAAAAGAUAGUACCACAAGAGGAAGAGACGGCUAACUCUGUGCCAGCAGCCGCGGUAAUACAGAGGUCUCAAGCGUUGUUCGGAAUCACUGGGCGGAAAGCGUGCGUAGGCUGUUUCGUAAGUCGUGUGUGAAAGGCGCGGGCUCAACCCGCGGACGGCACAUGAUAUUGCGGGACUAGAGUAAUGGAGGGGGAACCGGAAUUCUCGGUGUAGCAGUGAAAUGCGUAGAUAUCGGGAGGAACACUCGUGGCGAAGGCGGGUUCCUGGACAUUAACUGACGGUGAGGCACGAAGGCCAGGGGAGCGAAAGGGAUUAGAUACCCCGGUAGUC